rnacentral:rRNA from 1 species
GACGAACGCUGGCGGCGUGCUUAACACAUGCAAGUCGAACGGAAAGGCCCUGCUUUUGUGGGGUGCUCGAUUGGCGAACGGGUGUGUAACACGUGAGUAACCUGCCCUUGUCUUUGGGAUAACUUCAGGAAACUGGGGCUAAUAUCGGAUAGGAUCUCCUGCUGCAUGGUGGGGGUUGGUAAGUUUCGGCGGUUGGGGAUGGACUCGCGGCUUAUCAGCUUGUUGGUGUGGUAGUGGCUUACCAAGGCUUUGACGGGUAGCCGGCCUGAGAGGCUGACCGGCCACAUGGGGACUGAGAUACGGACCAGACGCCUACGGGAGGCAGCAGUGGGGAAUAUUGCACAAUGGGCGGAAGCCUGAUGCAGCAACGCCGCGUGCGGGAUGACGGCCUUCGGGUUGUAAACCGCUUUCGCCUGUGACGAAGCGUGAGUGACGGUAAUGGGUAAAGAAGCACCGGCUAACUACGUG